GACGAACGCUGGCGGCGUGCCUAAUACAUGCAAGUAGAACGCUGAAGGAGGAGCUUGCUUCUCCGGAUGAGUUGCGAACGGGUGAGUAACGCGUAGGUAACCUGCCUGGUAGCGGGGGAUAACUAUUGGAAACGAUAGCUAAUACCGCAUAAGAGUAGAUGUUGCAUGACAUUUGCUUAAAAGGUGCAAUUGCAUCACUACCAGAUGGACCUGCGUUGUAUUAGCUAUUUGGUGAGGUAACGGCUCACCAAGGCGACGACACAUAGCCGACCUGAGAGGGUGAUCGGCCACACUGGGACUGAGACACGGCCCAGACUCCUACGGGAGGCAGCAGUAGGGAAUCUUCGGCAAUGGACGGAAGUCUGACCGAGCAACGCCGCGUGAGUGAAGAAGGUUUUCGGAUCGUAAAGCUCUGUUGUAAGAGAAGAACGAGUGUGAGAGUGGAAAGUUCACACUGUGACGGUAUCUUACCAGAAAGGGACGGCUAACUACGUG
rnacentral:rRNA from 1 species